UCCAGCGCCAUUCACGCCUUUGUCCUGCUUUAUGGGAGAAGAGUCGACUUUUUUUCCCCCGAAGACUCAUUUUUAAAGAUUCUUGUCCUUCGUGUAGUAGCUGCAUGCUUUAAACCACAGGCGUAGAGGGAACUUCUAUUUUACAUCAUUUUCUGAUAAAACCCUUUGUCGCAAUAAGGGAUCCUCAUGCCCAGCUUCUAGUGGCCGCUUCAGUAAUGUCCACCGAAUAUUGAUCAUGUGGAAUGCCAGGCGGAGCUCUGAAGGGACCCUUACGAAAAAUAGAGAAGAAAAGCCUAUGGUUUCUGGAUGCAUGCGGGAGUGAAACACCGUGAUUCAGUUAGGUUUGAGAGGUCAGGCUCCUGGUAUCCUUGACCAUCCAGGAAGUGGCCUAGAACCAGGAAAUGGGAAAACCUGAGAAGAUCAAAGAGCUGUCACAAAGCUCAUGCACUAAAAUCUAUAGGGGAGACCCUCAGGAUCACUCUACUCCAGCAUUUCCGAUUUAGGUCUGAGGUAAUAAGCUGCUGGCACUGAGUUCUCAUCACGACAGUACCACUCUUCCAGAAGCUUGGUCUCCAGCUUUGCCUCUACGGCAGCAUCCAAAAUCAUUUCAAAUUCCG